CGUAGGUGCGAGCGUUGUCCGGAAUUAUUGGCGUAAGAGCUCGUAGGCGGUCCGUCACGUCGAUAGUGAAACUCAGGGCUCAACCCUGAGCCUGCUGUCGAUACGGGCAGACUUGAGGAAGGUAGGGAGAACGGAAUUCCUGGUGGAGCGGUGGAAUGCGCAGAUAUCAGGAGGAACACCGGUGGCGAAGGCGGUUCUCUGGACCUUUCCUGACGCUGAGGAGCGAAAGCGUGGGAGCAAACAGGCUU
rnacentral:rRNA from 1 species